GUGUCAGCAGCCGCGGUAAUACGUAGGGUGCAAGCGUUGUCCGGAAUUAUUGGGCGUAAAGAGCUCGUAGGCGGCGUGUCACGUCGGAUGUGAAAGCCCAUGGCUUAACUGUGGGUCUGCAUUCGAUACGGGCAGGCUGGAGUUCGGUAGGGGAGAUCGGAAUUCCUGGUGUAGCGGUGAAAUGCGCAGAUAUCAGGAGGAACACCGGUGGCGAAGGCGGAUCUCUGGGCCGAUACUGACGCUGAGGAGCGAAAGCAUGGGGAGCGAACAGGAUUAGAUACCCGCGUAGUCC
rnacentral:rRNA from 1 species